CUGCAGGGAAGCGAGAGAGGAAGUGCUACUUUCACAUCAUCGCUUCUGUUUUCUAGUUCUUCUUUCAAGAUGAACACGAGCGGUGAAGCGAAGUAAAAGCGGUUUAAUUCAUCUGUAACUUAUUGAAGUUUAGAGUGACACCCUGAAGAAUAAUGUCAGAAGUUAACACAGAGGAGAGAAGAGAAGUUGAGACAGAACUGCGUGACUUGGGAUUUGAAAGUGAUGAUUCACCCCCCUGCUCUGUGGGUGGGUUUGUCAUCAAGAUAUAAAUUUCAGGGUGGAUGUUCCUGGAGUCGAUGAUGUGGUGGAGGAGCAGCGCUCACCUUCGGCAGCGGGCAACAGCCCCACCUCCGAGACGCCUUCAUGAAGCAGCAGGUGGAGGACUCAGGGCAUCUGGUGUGAGCGUCACACUGAACCAUACCCUCCACGUCUUUGCUUUCCUCCUCCUCCUCGUCUUCCUCUUUCUCCUCCUUGUCCUCCGUCAUCACCUCGUCCUCCUCAGGUUUCUUCUCCUCCUCAGACUCCACUGUAGUUUUGGCUGUAGUUGCGGUCGUAGUCUGAGCCCCAGUGACAAAAGAUGGCACCUUCUGCAGCAUGGGCGUUGAGCCUGAGUUAUGGUUACAGGUGAGGGUGGUCAGAUCACAGGUGGUGCCAUGGGGGCAGCAGUGUUCAUGGUCAUCACAACACACCGCCUUUGGAACAAAAUGGCAGCAAGACUUUGCAUCAGAAACUUUGUUAAGGAUACAACAUGAAUCGUUUUCACAUUAAAAUGUCUAAAAGUGACUAAACCUUCAUAUAUUUUGCUGAAUUCUGUACUUAAAUCCCAAAUGUUUCCAACAAUGUUCAAAUCCAUAAUUUAAUUCAAAUUAACGGUGCGUCUCAUGUGCUCACGUGUCACUAAAACUUCCAGGAAAGAGUCAUAGUGAAGAAGAAGCAGUGAGUGUUUACCUCUGGCAGGGGACAGCAGGACCAGUCCCCUUCCUUGUUCUUGCAGCAGGUGGUGCCAUCAGGACAACUGGAGGUGGAGUCACAGGUAACAUUCCCCACCUGUACGACCUGCCUGGGGAGUGCGGGUAUCUUCUCGACCCACGGCACAGAGCAUGUGUCGUCAUCACAUGUCUGGGCA